ACGGAAGGCAGCAGUGAGGAAUAUUGGUCAAUGGACGCAAGUCUGAACCAGCCAUGCCGCGUGCAGGAAUAAGGCCCUAUGGGUCGUAAACUGCUUUUGUGGUGGAGCAAUAAGUCGUACGUGUACGGCAAUGAGAGUACAUCACGAAUAAGCAUCGGCUAACUCCGUGCCAGCAGCCGCGGUAAUACGGAGGAUGCAAGCGUUAUCCGGAUUUAUUGGGUUUAAAGGGUGCGUAGGCUGUGGUCCAAGUCAGGGGUGAAAGCCCGGAGCUCAACUCCGGAACUGCCUUUGAUACUGGAUUGCUGGAAUACGGAUGCCGUGGGAGGAAUGAGUAGUGUAGCGGUGAAAUGCAUAGAUAUUACUCAGAACACCGAUUGCGAAGGCAUCUCACGAAUCCGUCAUUGACGCUGAGGCACGAAAGCGUGGGGAUCAAACAGGAUUAGAUACCCUGGUA
rnacentral:rRNA from 1 species